AUUGAACGCUGGCGGCAGGCCUAACACAUGCAAGUCGAGCGAGCGGCGGACGGGUGAGUAAUGUAUGGGGAACUGCCCGAUGGAGGGGGAUAACUACUGGAAACGGUGGCUAAUACCGCAUACCAUCAGAUGUGCCCAUAUGGGAUUAGCUAGUAGGUGGGGUAAAGGCUCACCUAGGCGACGAUCCCUAGCUGGUCUGAGAGGAUGAACAGCCACACUGGGACUGAGACACGGCCCAGACUCCUACGGGAGGCAGCAGUGGGGAAUAUUGCACAAUGGGCGCAAGCCUGAUGCAGCCAUGCCGCGUGUAUGAAGAAGGCCUUAGGGUUGUAAAGUACUUUCAGCGGGGAGGCGUUACCCGCAGAAGAAGCACCGGCUAACUCCGUGCCAGCAGCCGCGGUAAUAC
rnacentral:rRNA from 1 species